GUUCAGUGUUCAGUCUAUGGAGAGAUGAAGGGUUCAGUGUUCAGUCUAUGGAGAGCUCCAGGGCUCAGUGUUCAGUCUAUGGAGAGCUGUGUUCAGUCUAUGGAGAGCUGCAGGGUUCAGUAUUCAGUCUAUGGAGAGCUGCAGGGUUCAGUAUUCAGUCUAUGGAGAGCUGCAGUGGUCAGUGUUCAGUCUAUGGAGAGCUCCAGGGCUCAGUGUUCAGUCUAUGGAGAGCUCCAGGGCUCAGUGUUCAGUCUACGGAGAGCUGCAGGGUUCAGUGUUCAGUCUAUGGAGAGCUCCAGGGUUCAAUGCUAAGUCUAUGGAGAGCUGCAGAGUUCAGUAUUCAGUCUAUGGAGAGCUGCAGGGUUCAGUGUUCAGUCUAUGGAGAGCUCCAGGGCUCAGUGUUCAGUCUAUGGAGAGCUGCAGGGCUCAGUGUUCAGUCUAUGGAGAGCUGUAGGGUUCAGUAUUCAGUCAAUGGAGAGCUGCAGAGCUCAGUAUUCAGUCUAUGGAGAGCUCCAGGGUUCAAUGCUAAGUCUAUGGAG